GGUAGCGAAAUUCCUUGUCGGGUAAGUUCCGACCUGCACGAAUCGUGAAACGAGUUGGGCACUGUCUCAACCAGGCGCUCAGUGAAAUUGUAGUGGCGGUGAAGAUGCCGCCUACCCGCAGAAGGACGGAGAGACCCUAUAGACCUUAACUGUAAGCUGUCAUUGUUUCUUCGGUUUUAAUGCUCAGAGUAAGUGGGAGACGCUGAAGACGCCCUUUAGGGGGCGUCGGAGUCAUCAAUGAGACACCACCCUUUGAAACUGGAGGAUCUAACCCUGAGCCGUGAAUCCGGCCAGAGGACCGUGUCAGCCGGUCAGUUUUACUGGGGCGGUAUCCUCCCAAAGAGUAACGGAGGAGCGCGAAGGUGGGCUCAGCCCGGUUGGCAACCGGGUGUCGAGUGCAUGGGCAUAAGCCCGCCUAACUGUGAGACCAACAAGUCGAGCAGAUGCGAAAGCAGGCCCAAGUGAUCCGGCGGUAGAAAGUGGAAUUGCCGUCGCUCAACGGAUAAAAGGUACCUUAGGGAUAACAGGCUGAUCACGCCCAAGAGUUCAUAUCGACGGCGUGGUUUGGCACCUCGAUGUCGGCUCGUCGCAUCCUGGGGCUGGAGAAGGUCCCAAGGGUCCGGCUGUUCGCCGGUUAAAGCGGCACGCGAGCUGGGUUCAGAACGUCGCGAGACAGUUCGGUCCUCUAUCCUCUGUGGGCGUUGGAAAAUUGAGGGGUUCAGACCUUAGUACGAGAGGACCGGGUCUGACGCACCACUGGUGCAUCGGUUGUACUGUCAAGUGCAUGGCCGAGUAGCUAAGUGCGGACGGGAUAAGCGCUGAAAGCAUCUAAGCGCCAAGCCCAUCCCAAGAUGAGUUUUCCCUAUAGGUUCGUGGAAGACCACCACGUUGAUAGGUCGCAGGUGUAAGUGCAGCAAUGUAUUGAGCCAAGCGAUACUAAUCACCAAUAGACUUCAUCAU
rnacentral:rRNA from 1 species